GGGUUGUGAGGUUAAGCGAAUAAGCGUACACGGUGGAUGCCUAGGCAAUCAGAGGCGAUGAAGGACGUGCUAAUCUGCGAAAAGCGUCGGUAAGGUGAUAUGAACCGCUAUACCCGACGAUAUCCGAAUGGGGAAACCCAGUAUCCAAUGGAUACUAUCAUUAACUGAAUCCAUAGGUUAAUGAGGCGAACCGGGAGAACUGAAACAUCUCAGUACCCCGAGGAAA
rnacentral:rRNA from 1 species